UGCGGAUCACAGACACAAGACUGCUUUCUGCAACCCUCCUGAACCCAAUAACUCGCUUCAGCUAUUCACAAAAUCAAAUCCACUUGCCAGGGGCCUCCUCUCCUGUUUGCGCUUCACCAAGCUCUGACAGCUGUGACUGGCUAGCCUCCU